rnacentral:lncRNA from 1 species
UGUAUAUCCUUUAAUUUUUUUUUUUUGAGCGGUUAGGCAGGUUUUAAGUUGAAGGUCUCUGGGAAUCAACCCCGAUCUCUACGAGGUUGAGAUAAAGUCUUCGGACACUCUUCCCUCUCCAAGAACUAUUUUGUGGGACUUUCCGGGAUAUAUUGUUGUUGUAAUUGUUGUUAGUAUAAGUAACUUUAUACUGUAAGGUUACCUUUAUUUAUGGGAGCAAAUAAUUUAUUUUAUUUUUAAGA